GGGGCAUUCCGAUGAGUGUAUUU
rnacentral:miRNA from 1 species